GGAGGGAUGCGAGAGCGGCCGAAUCGGCACGCCUGGAGAGCGUGUGUUCCGCAAGGGACCGUGGGUUCAAAUCCCACUCCCUCCG
rnacentral:tRNA from 1 species